CAACUAUCAAGCCUGGCUUGUCGUUGGACUCCUUUGUCGUCGAGAGCCGACAGGUCCGAAAGAUAAUGACGGUGUCGUGUUUGACCCUAGAUGCAACGAGCUUUUAUAGCACGCAUUGAUGUGGUCGGGCGGCCCGGUCUUAAACCCCCCAUUUUCUUAAGGUUGACCUCGGAUCAGGUAGGAAUACCCGCUGAACUUAA
rnacentral:misc_RNA from 1 species